rnacentral:lncRNA from 1 species
AUGCAAAGGUAAGGCCGAAUUUAGUAAGAUUAUAAAUCUCUAUACAGAUAUGGCAAUGUUUUAAUUUCAUGAAAAGAACAAAUUCUCAUGAUUAGGAAUGCAAAUCUUUGCCAAAGACAGCUGAAAAGAAUUGUGUUUAAUAGCAAAAUAGCUUCUAUUUAUUGAAUGUUUACUCUAUUCCUGAUUAAACAUGCCACAUGAAGCAUCUUUUGAUAUUCACAGCAUCAUGAAGACUACAAUCUUUUUUUUUUUUGGCAAAUGAAAUGGCAGAUUCUGAUGGAUUAAGAAUUUUGUUCUAGGCAACACAGCCGUAAGUGACAGGUCUCCCUGAUGCUGAAUCAUGCCCUUUCCACCAUAGUCUGCAUUAUCUUCAGCAUGGAUUCAGCACAGGUGUGAGUAAUCUUCAUGCAGGUCAACUUCAAGACAACUGGGUGUCAAGAGCAAGGAAGAAGACGGCCUAUGAAGUGAAUUUAACAUACAAUGAUUAAAGGAAGUGCUACACUCUGCUGCCUCCUGCAAGUAGCACGUUGAAGACAGCUAAAGUCGUUCAAAAACCUGGAAAGAAUUACUAAGAUCCAUAAGAGUUGACAAGAACGUGGAAGACUCCCAUAACCACCUAACCGCAUCCUGUGCGAGCCGCAUAAGAUGGUUUCUGGAGCUACUGUACAAACAGAGCUUGGCAAAAACCAGCCAUAGAAGCUGUGAGAAGACAGACUUCAAGUCAUUUUUAUAGGCAGACCUGGAUCAACACAGCUUGAGAAGUAGGAACUUAUCAAAGCUCUUAUGUGGAAGAAACUUAGAUGACCACCUGCACUGACCUGUCCUGGAUGAAAGGAUGUCACUUUCCUUGUCUCUUCUCUCACAUAAAGUCUAAUUGACCUGGUAUAUUUCAUUUCAAAGGAUACCAAGUACUGUGCUUCCCACCUCAUAUGCCCAAUAGAACUGUUCGUGCUCAUUUUGCCCUAGUCAAGUGUCAUUCAUCCAUCCUUUUCUGAACACUUCCAAGUUAUCUUCAGUCCCCUCGUCUUGGUCCCAAUGCACUCAUGAGGGAUCAUCUGCCUUCUGACUUUAUUCUUCCUGUUACAAAGGAGCACAUCUGAGUAGAGGAGAGCACCAACCCCAGGGAGCCCCAAGCCUGCAAACCUGUGUGAACCCUGAAUGGGAAGUGCAAGACUCAACAACCCUUCACUGCUAGUUUUGCCACUAUGGAUAUAUUGUAGACAAACAUCCAAUUUUUCUGGAUAAAUUUUACAUUGUCUUAAAUGUACUAGAGAGAUCUUUGGUUUGACAUUUUCACAAGUACUUUCUCAGUUUUGUUUACAUAGAAGAUUUGUCAAAAUCCUUCCUCCUCUGUAGCCGAGUCAACGACACAGUCUCCUUUCAGAACAUUUGUUCCUCUUUUGAGUGUCCUAGUUCUUGUUAGAAACCAGAUUCUAUGGAUGCACGUUGGCAGCCUGCAGUUAUGUGAACCUGAACACUGAAACAUGGUUGAAGCACUUUCAUGUCUAUAGAGAUGGCUCCUUUCAAACCCACAGACCUGUUUCUGCCUUGUCUUCCCUGAUCUGUGUGCCCAGCACCAAAAUCCCAAGAAACAAACCUGAGGUGGUUUGGUCUGGAUAGGCCUGGAUGUUCUUCCUGGCCCACUUGGGUGCUACAAUUAGCCACAAACUCUCUACGAAAGAAGAAACGCCUGGAUUUGGUCAGUAUAUACAAUCGCUUUUGAAAAGGAAACUGGCUUCAUCCAUGUCUCUGCAUUCUCAGCAAACUAACACAAGAACAGAAAACCAAACACCGCAUGUUCUCACUCAUAAGUGGGAGUUGAGAAAUGAGAACACAUGGACACAGGGAGGGGAACAUCACACACCGCGGCCUGUCGGGGCAUGGG